UCACCUCGCCAGUGUGCACCUGUAGAGACAGCCGGGCCUGGGCCGUGGCCUGAAAAGCCACGAGGCUAUAUGAAAGGCAAAUGACUGCACGUCAAGUCGCUAAUCAUUCCUAAACAAGCUCUCCACACAGCUUCCGAAUACGACAAGAAUCCGGACACAUCUGCGGAAAGGGACAGCGGGAGGUCGAUUUAGAAGAGAGACACAGCUGCCGGGAAGCCCAGGCAGAAGCGUGCAGGGCGUGGAAUCCCGAGCGGCUUGCACUCGCUCAGCACCUUCGCAGGCCGGCUGCCCAGAGGCAUUGCACGCAGGGGAGCAGAUGUCCGCAGCUGCGUGUGAGCCACGGCCGCACGGAGAGAGCGCGCUCCAUGAGGACGGCGGGCCCCUGCGAGGAGGGUCGCACACCCCACAAAGGGCAUCCCCGUGUUCGGGUGCCGGUCCCCAAGCCAGCCUCUGAUAACCUUUUGAGUGUUACCCAUUGGCUCUGCCCUCGCUGCCAGCACGCAGGGUGGCGCCGGAUCUGCGCGGCCCCAUGUUACCACCUGUCUCUGUGCCGCUGAAGAGUCUCCGGGCCAGAGCUGAGUCCGGUGGUUGUUCCCAUUGCCGCGUCUCAGAUCGGGUUCCCGAAGUAAACCCUAAGACAAGGAAUC